rfam:Rhodocyclales bacterium RIFCSPLOWO2_02_FTLL_63_24 rifcsplowo2_02_scaffold_410, whole genome shotgun sequence.
GCUGUUGUAGCUCAGUUGGUAGAGCAACUGAUUCGUAAUCAGUAGGUCGCCAGUUCGAUUCCGGCCAACAGCA